rnacentral:rRNA from 1 species
UAGAGUUUGAUCAUGGCUCAGGAUGAACGCUAGCGACAGGCUUAACACAUGCAAGUCGAGGGGCAGCGGGGAGGUAGCAAUACUUCCGCCGGCGACCGGCGCACGGGUGAGUAACACGUAUGGAACCUGCCCGUAGCAGGGGGAUAAGCGGAAGAAAUUCCGUCUAAUACCGCGUAAUAACUCCGAGAGGCAUCUCAUGGAGUUUAAAGGGUAAUACCGGCUACGGAUGGCCAUGCGGCGCAUUAGCUAGUUGGCGGGGUAACGGCCCACCAAGGCGACGAUGCGUAGGGGUUCUGAGAGGAAGGUCCCCCACACUGGUACUGAGACACGGACCAGACUCCUACGGGAGGCAGCAGUGAGGAAUAUUGGUCAAUGGGCGCGAGCCUGAACCAGCCAAGUCGCGUGAGGGAAGACGGUCCUAUGGAUUGUAAACCUCUUUUGUCGGGGAGCAAAAGGCGCCACGUGUGGCGUUCCGAGAGUACCCGAAGAAAAAGCAUCGGCUAACUCCGUGCCAGCAGCCGCGGUAAUACGGAGGAUGCGAGCGUUAUCCGGAUUUAUUGGGUUUAAAGGGUGCGCAGGCGGAAGAUCAAGUCAGCGGUAAAAUUGAGAGGCUCAACCUCUUCGAGCCGUUGAAACUGGUUUUCUUGAGUGAGCGAGAAGUAUGCGGAAUGCGUGGUGUAGCGGUGAAAUGCAUAGAUAUCACGCAGAACUCCGAUUGCGAAGGCAGCAUACCGGCGCUCAACUGACGCUCAUGCACGAAAGUGUGGGUAUCGAACAGGAUUAGAUACCCUGGUAGUCCACACAGUAAACGAUGAAUACUAAUUGUUCGGGGAGAAUGAUCCCUGAGUGAUACAGCGAAAGCGUUAAGUAUUCCACCUGGGGAGUACGCCGGCAACGGUGAAACUCAAAGGA